ACUGUACUCCGGAUCCCGCAAGUUAGUGCAUAGGUGUCCGGUGGUUAACGUGACAGUCGUGACGAAGAUCAACAGGCGCACCCAUUUUUUAGUACCUUCGAUCGGUGGCUUGUGAACGUUUCGCCGAAGCAUGCAGCGCGCUGCCUACUCGAUCGCUUUCUUCAAAGAUUUGCCCUUUUGUCAGUCGUUCGUACACAAGGUGAAGAUGAUUUCCUGUAAGGAUCAUGUGGCCCAGUUUGAGUUGCAGCUUGAAAAGCCACACUGCAACCUGAGCAACACGCUUCACGGUGGCAUGGCCACUGUCCUGAUUGACCUGUACACCUGCGCGCUACUAAGGACGGCCUACGAGAAGGAACGUGCUGUUCUCCACCACCGAACUGAAGGCAAGGUUCCUUGGUGCCGCCAAACUGGGAGACACUAUCUUGAUGGAGGCACGAAUCACUCGCGCUGGACGCACCGUGGCCUUCGCUGAAAUGGAACAUUCUCGACAAAGCCAGCAGGAAGAUUCUGGUUCAAGGGGCUCACACAGCACUAGUUGUUCCCCAAGAGUAGCAAUGUCAGCCAAAUCGGUGGCGAGGUGGAACACAAGGGUAUGAACUCGCAGAACUGGAGGUUGAUUCAAAUUGGUUUAUUAUGACAGCCGUGCAAAAUGCGGCAGCCUGAACUGCCUGAUGCAUUCAACAUGGCUACUGCACAUCCGGGCGGGAGGGUGGCUACAGCGACAUCACCUGGCAGUACACAACAGCAACCAAGACAUUGUUUCGUUUUAUUGACAUUCAGUUCAGUUUGACCUGUAGUUUGAACACAAUGAUAGAAAAUGUCAUACAGUUAAUAUGUGUUGAUGUCAAUAUGUUGAUCCAGCAGAUCUUUCUAGGUUGUACUUAUCUGUAUUCAUGUAACAUAGGUAAAACCACCCAGGAUUAAAAAGGCUGUAUUCUGCUUGUGAACCACUGCACUGAAUGAAUGUUUUUUUUUAUUAAGUGUGGUUGAAGUUUCUGCUUUUCAUUAGGAAUGCCACAAAACACAAAUGCUUAUUUUUAUGAAGGCUUGUGUUCUUGGCUACAGCCUAUCUACAACCCCGAAUUUGUAUGUCCACCUAAACUCUGCAUUCACUUGUGCUGUAUUGUUGUAUUACCAACCCAGGUGUCUUAUGUACUACUAAUGUCCUCAUGGAGAAUUUGUGUUAAUCUUCAAGACUGACUAGGCUUGCUCGUAUUGCUGGUGUCACAGUAAAGACAGUUUGUCCUGGCC